rnacentral:lncRNA from 10 species
UUAUUCAUUUGUUCAAGCAUUUUUCAUUUGUAAAACAUGAAAUGAGAAGAAUGCAAAACAUAAAGCUAUGUCUAUGUCAUUUCAUCAUUUUAUAUGAGGUAACUUGUCCAAUGCCUGUCUGUUUCAAGGAACUCAUAGUCUGGUAAGGAAAAUACAUGCAUAAAUAGGAAGAAGUGUUUAUUUUGUUUGAAAAAAAAUGUUUUGGUGAUUAGAUCGGGUCACUCAUAUGUCAAAAAUAUCCCAUAGAUUUCCGCUGGAGUGAAGAAAAAAACCUUUUAUGUGUUCUGCCACUAUCUGUCUCUGUCUUCAUAUUUUACGGCUACUUUCUCACUUUUUUUUUUCCAGAACACACAAAAGCUUGUUGCUGCCUCAGAGUUUUUGCCCUUAUAGUUCUUUCAGUUUAUAACCCUUGUCUCAAGUUCAUGGCAUGGCUGAUUUUUCACCUCUCCAACUCUCAGUUCAAAUAUCACCUCUAAGGUCAGGCCAUGCCUGGCCACUCUACCUUAAUUAGUCACCAUCCACCUCACAGGUUACUUUCACAUCAUCACAGUUGGAAAGGACUGUGUUUAUUCAUUUGCUUUGUGUUCCUUCUACUAGGAUGUAACCUUCAUAACAAUAGACAUCUUGUUUUUCUUCAUCUCUGUGUCCUAAUUAGCUCACAGAUAGGGGAUACUCAAGAAAUAAUUAUUAAAUACAUGAGGGAUUUUGGUAUGAUUUGAGUCCCCACCCCUUUUCCUAUACUCUACUCUCAUCUCUUGCUGUUCCUUCCUUCCAAGGCCUGGAUGUUAGUUGGUACCAGAAUUUGGGGGGAAAUUGCUCUGUAUACAUUGUGUGAAGAAAUUGAGGAAUUAUAUUGCUUAUAAGAGGAGUGCAGAGAGGGGUAAGGGUAGGAGCAAACAAGAUGGUAGAAAGUGGAGUGCUAGACUACUUGACUCCUUUUGCUGCCCUCCCUUCCAAAUUACGAGGCGCAUGAAAAACUGACAUUGAUGUAUAAUAGAAAUUAAAGGUGUUAAAUUUUAUUCCCAAGUGGUGUAGUGAUAGACAAAAGCAAUAAUAGAGGAAGCUGGAGCUUGAGAGAUAGAACAGAGGAGGAGAUGUAAAACCCUUGGGAAUUAGCAGAAAUAUUGAGGGAGCAUUUCCUGAAGCCAUGAAAGGAGAAAGUUCAAGGCAAUGUUGCUUAGCUCUCAUGGGGUAGGCAGACAACUAAAGUCUUUGAUACAUACAGAAUUGUGCCACAUAGGCAAUAAUAGAGACAAUGUGGAGGGAAUGACUAAGACUGUCCACUGAACAAGGGAAAGGGGCUUCUUGUAAAGUCUUUGUAUACUGUACAUGAAAAUUAAGAUAUAUCUUGCACAAUCAUUCAAUGUUUUCCAGGUAGAUAAAGUGAUUGGGGUAAAGUGCAUUUCGGAAGAAUGGUGGCACGAAUUUGCCUUCAUUAAAAUAAAUUCAUUAAAUGAAACUUUAAUGGUGCCCACUAAAUCCCAGACUCUGUACCAAUUAGGUAAUUGAAUGGGUCUUAUAUUGGAAUGGGAUUAGAGUUGACAGCAUAGGCUUGAGUCAGAUCGACUUGAGUUCAAAUCCCAGCUCCACUACUUCUGAGUUGUGCAAACUUGGGCAAGUUAUUCAAUCUCCUUGUGCCUUGAUUUCCUUAUCAAUAAGUGAUUUGUUUUUAAAGAAGGAUUCACAAGCAAACAUAUCUGGUUUUUUUGUUUGUUUGUUUUUGAGACAGAGUCUCGCUCUGUUGUCCAGGCUGGAGUGCAGUGAUGCGAUCUUGACUCACUGCAACCUCCGCCUCCCAGGAGUUCAAGCGAUCCUCCUGCCUCAGUCUUCCGAGUAGCUGGGACUACAGGCAUGUGCCACCACACCCAGCUACUAUUUUUGUAUUUUUUUGUAGAGAUGGUUUCGCCAUGUUGGCCAGGCUGGUCUUGAACCCUUGACCUCAGGUGAUCCACCAGCCUCGGCCUCACAAAGUGCUGGGAUUACAGGUAUGAGCCACCACGCCCAGCCUGCAAACAUAUGUUGAACUCUUUGCACAGUGCCCUGCAUGAGAUAGAUGACAGCUCCUUCUUCCAUGUUGUUAAUUUGGUGUGAGUAUAUGUUAUAUGUAUGUAUAUGCAAGAUAAUAAUCUUCUUGUAACCACUGACAGGCCUUUUUGUGAAUGAUGAUGGAAAAAGCAAGAACCUUGUCCAGGUUCCUCUCCAGGGAGCAGGGCUUUUGCAGCUGUUCCUGGAAGGAGACCCAGUUGAAAGGGGUUGUUAUGGACCAGGAACAGCUGGGAUCUUUAAUGAUCUGUGAGCAGCUUACAGCAAAGUUCCAACACCCUGAGUAUCAGUCCCCAAAUCCUUGGUCUUUGCAUUCCAACACAAAGUAAAAAGGAUUGAGCAGGGUUUUGGUUUUGGUUGCAAGUAACAGAAACCCAACGCUAAUUAAUAAACGGGAAAGUGUGUCAGUGGAAAUGUAAGUAAGAAGAGAUUUCAUUUACUGGCCAAUUCAAAAGAUGACAAGCUUUAGGCGUGGCUCAGUCCAGUGGCUCAUGAUGUCUUCAGGACUCAGUGUUUCUCUGUUGUCAUCUCUUAGUUCUAUUAUUUUUUCUGUGUUGGUUCAUUAUGAGGUUUCCUUUAGAGGGUGGCAGAGAAAGCCACUAGUUGCUUCAAGUCUUUAUUUUACCAGCUCCACAAGUCCGACGGAAAGAGAAAACUGCUUUCCCAAAGGGUGUAAGAGGAUGAAAGGCAUGUCAUCAGCUGAAUUGCAUCAGGUGUCCAUCUUGGAAUCAAUCACGGUGCCUCUUAUUAGCAAAGCCUGAGUCAUAGAGCUUUCUCCAGCUGGUAGAAAAAGGGGAAGUAUGAGACUUAAAGGUGGAGGUGGCCCCAUGGAAAAGACCUAAGGGUAGCCUGCGGGAACUGAGAGAAAACCCCAACUGGCAGCCAGCAAGAAAACAGGGACCUUAAUCUUACGACCACAAGGAACUGGACUCUGCUACCAGAAUGAGCUGCAAGGGAGAUUCUUCCUCAGAAGCUUCAGAUAAGAACUCCACCUGGCUGACCUUUGAUUUUGGUUUUGUGAGAACUUUGGCAGAUAACCCAGGCAUGUGUCAUUUCACAUCUGCAUAAAAAGACAUGCUGAAGGAUGUUCCUUGCAGAAUGGUUAUAGAGAAAAAUGGGAAUAACCACGAUAUAAAGUAACAGAAGAGCCAGAAAGAGAACAUCAGUGCAAACAAAGGAAUGCCUUGACCAUUCAUCCAGUCAGCAAAUAUUUACUGAGCACCUACUCUCAGCCAUGUGUUCUCCAUAGGAGUGGGAACAGAGCAGGCAGCUGAAUCUGUGACUUUCCUCACUUCUGUCCACUGGAAGAGGCUUUUAGAGCAUCCUUGAGAGGGCCACCAAGGUGCUGUACUUCCAGGUUUAUUUCUUCAUUGAAGAAUUGUUUAAGAGAUAUUUCAUUGUAUGUUGCAACGAUGUAAUUGGGCUCUGGCUGGUUUAUUCACUUAAUAGGUAUGGUAAUAAUUAUAUAUCACUUUUU